UACGUAGGGGGCAAGCGUUGUCCGGAUUUAUUGGGCGUAAAGAGCGUGUAGGCGGUUUUACAGGUCCGCUGUGAAAACGCGAGGCUCAACCUCGCGCCUGCAGUGGGUACGGGCAGACUAGAGUGCGGUAGGGGAGAUUGGAAUUCCUGGUGUAGCGGUGGAAUGCGCAGAUAUCAGGAGGAACACCGAUGGCGAAGGCAGAUCUCUGGGCCGUAACUGACGCUGAGGAGCGAAGGCGUGGGGAGCGAACAGG
rnacentral:rRNA from 1 species